AGCACAGACACUAGCCUGCGGUGGUCAGGAAAGGCGCUUCAAGAAGUCAGGGCAGGGUUGGUAUCUAAAUGAAGAAGGCAGCACCCACCUGUCUGGGGAAAGGUGUUCCUGGCAGAGGAAACAGCCAGUGCAGGCUCUGAGAAAAACAAACAAACAAACAACUGACCUUGACAUAAUAACAGAAAUUAGGAAGUUUAGAGUUCUAAACUGUCCAUGGACGUUAGUUCCAACUGUCACUGGGUUGGCAGGCAGUGGCUGAGGAUGGAGGGGGCCAUCUGCGAGAGGCAAGGGUCGACAGCCUGGCCUUUGAGAUUAUACAUCGGGUCUGAUUAGAUCCCUGUUUUAUGUCAUAGUGGAGCUAAUUUAAGUGGAAUGGAAGACAUCUGAGUCUCAAUGUUCUCUCGAUCACUUCAAGAAAUUCGAACACGGCAGUGAACUUGCAUUCUUUCUUCAAGCCUGACAUACUGCCAUUUCACACGGAAACGUAUUGCAGAAGAUGCCGAAGGAGACUUGAAUUGGCAUCCAUCUCUCCAACUUUCUGCCCAACCAUUAGCCCUUGAAAUGAAUAUGGCUACUUCACUGAAGACACUGAGCUUCUCACAUGUAGCAAGGAGCAUCACACCCCUGCCUCACUUUUGCAGGGUACCAGAACUUUCUUCAGUCAGGCAGCCACGCCAGGAUCUGUUCCUUUUGGUUCCACUGACUUCGAAUUGGGCCAGGGCCUCACUGCAACUGCAGCUAGUUUAUGUCUGAUUUCAAAUAUGAUUUAGGGGAUUUAACUUUGUCCUUCAGCUCAAUCCCCAACUUUCUUUACUACUAUUGCUACAACUGAGGGACAAAUAAAUCCCUUUGAUCCUCCCAGG
rnacentral:lncRNA from 1 species